GAUGAACGCUGGCGGCGUGCCUAAUACAUGCAAGUCGAGCGAACGGACGAGAAGCUUGCUUCUCUGAUGUUAGCGGCGGACGGGUGAGUAACACGUGGAUAACCUACCUAUAAGACUGGGAUAACUUCGGGAAACCGGAGCUAAUACCGGAUAAUAUUUUGAACCGCAUGGUUCAAAAGUGAAAGACGGUCUUGCUGUCACUUAUAGAUGGAUCCGCGCUGCAUUAGCUAGUUGGUAAGGUAACGGCUUACCAAGGCAACGAUGCAUAGCCGACCUGAGAGGGUGAUCGGCCACACUGGAACUGAGACACGGUCCAGACUCCUACGGGAGGCAGCAGUAGGGAAUCUUCCGCAAUGGGCGAAAGCCUGACGGAGCAACGCCGCGUGAGUGAUGAAGGUCUUCGGAUCGUAAAACUCUGUUAUUAGGGAAGAACAUAUGUGUAAGUAACUGUGCACAUCUUGACGGUACCUAAACAGAAAGCCACGGCUAACUACGUG
rnacentral:rRNA from 1 species